GCGGAGGUAAUCAAGCGGUUUGCGAUCGCUUGCAAUCAUUGAUGCUAUUGCAAGGACGCGCCCGCAAAAGAUGCUGGUUUGGAGAGCCAGUGCCCACAAGGCACGGGGGUUCGAAUCCCCCCCUCCGCGCCA
rnacentral:tRNA from 1 species